rnacentral:sRNA from 1 species
AAAGGGGGAACGAGAAGGAGAGAGACAGAUCUAUGGAUCGAGAUAGGAAUCGGGAUCGGGAUCGGGAUCCUGGUCGGGAUGGGUACCAGAGUAGAUCUAGGCGAGAACGGUGAAAGGAGACGUUUUGUAAUCUGGGCUAUUUGUAAAUGGAUUCUUGGGGCUUUUCAUUAAGCGAUUAAGGCGUUCUUACAGGAAGGUUCGCUCUAUUGUCCAUUUUAUCCGACUUCGUUUGAGAGCUGAUACGAGGCGUGGAAUGCCACAAAAAAUUAAAGAUAGGCUUCAAAGACUGGUUACAAAUGAUACCGUUAUCUUAUUUGGUCUAUGGGUAGCGCUCUGUUUGAAGUGUGUGUAACCGUCACCCUAACAAUAGCUCAGAAACGCAAAAUAUAACGGAAACUGAGCCGAUCAAUAUGUAGAUAUAUAAUCUUACUUAAUAAACUUCUCAAUUACCCACCCAUGCUUUCUAUCUUUCCUCUGCACUACUUUCUUCGCUGGUAAUGGCCACCCCAUACUUCCCGGAUCCCCCUUCAAUGACGGAAUGAUCCAACACUCACGCUUAUCCGAUGCACCGGCAACUGGUUCAAUCUUCCCAACAGGUUUCCCAUAUUCAAUUAAAGGUGUUCCAUGUCCCAGAGCAGAGAGUUGUAAUCCGCUCACGGCGGUUAGGGGAAACAUUCUGACCUUGGUAGGAGCAUCGGAGAUAGCGCUUAGGGCAGAUUGUUGGAGAUGAGAGUAGAUGAGGUAUUGAGGAAGUUCCGUGGUCGAGAGAUGAGCAAGGACAGAUGUGGGAUGUAUAUAUACGGCUUUUUCAUGGACCUCUCUGGCGUGUCCGUCGAGGGAUGAGAAGAGAGUUAGAUAUGGGACGUCGAUGGCUCUUCGAGGCUUGCGCGGCAUGUCUGGCGGGAUAGGAGCCAUAUCUGCACGAAUUGCGACGUGGUCAAUGAAGCCUGCUGCGGUGAUUUGCUUCAGAGCGCGGAGUUGUUUAUCAGUGGGCUCAGGGAGGCGCAAUUCGAACUGGUUCGUGAUAUUUGGGUUAUUGCUGCGGACGAUCUCGUAAAGCUGGCGGCGGAGUUGGGAGGCCUCUUUCAUAGCGUUAGGACGCAGGAACAUUUGAGAACAGAAGGACUCGCCAUUUGCUGCGUAUGCGUACGCACAUACUGCCGCAAGGGAUUUUAGGGCGUCAGAUUGGUCGUCGUACUUGCUAAAGAUACGGCGGGCUCUGUUGUAAUCCUUUCGCCGCAUUUCUCUCGCGGUAUCCUCAAGUCUAUUCGCGUUUGUGUAGAUUUUACUCUCCUCGUCAUCCUCAUGCUGGACGGGGUUGAGAUCGAGCUGGUUUUCUUGGAUAAAAAGGUCCGACACUGAGAGUGAGGAAACCAAAGCUACUACGUAUGGCAUACAGCCGUGUUGAUGGCCGAUUUGGAGCAUCUUUCCAAACCUUGGGGAGAGUGGAUAUAGACUAAGCUGGCGGCCUGUCUCGGUGACCUGACCAUCCAAAGAGAGGGCGCCAAGGUUCUGCAGUAAUAUUUCCGCUUUGGCAAGACUUGUUCGAUUUGGCGG